UCCAGCUGUUCCAAGGGCGUGCGCUCACGCUGCGCGCACAACAAGUCAGAGACGUUUCGCUUCUACCGGGAAGGGAAAGGGCAGGAAAGCGUUUGACGCAAGCUGCUCCGGCUUCGUUUCCAUUAAGUCUCGGAAAAUGGAUGGGAUGGCAUUGCCUAGUGCGGUCCCCCGAUGAACUGGCUGCCUUCGACAAAUGGCGGCGAGAACUUGCACGUGAAAGGGUUCGCCGUUGGCACGCCAAUCCAGCCGUUAAGUGCUAAUUAUAGUCCGACGUAGCGUGAGUGCACGCAGACGUUACGUCACCUUGGUGAGAACAACAGCGUCUAUACUUCGACCGAUGGUUCGACGCACUGGUGCAGCUAUCGUAACCGGACGGGGCCAACACACUCAGACGCGCCCGGCGUCGAGCGACGGUAGUCCGCGCGCCCAUAACGAUGGACUAUAAACCAACAUUUAGAGCCACCUGAGCAACGAGGAGAAGAUCACGAGCCGAGGGAGUGGGAAGCCGAAGCAAUCCGGCACCGUUACCUGUGGGUUACUUAACCAUGACGAAGACCUUUUAUUGGGUGUGGCAAGCAGCACGGUCCUCAAAGCCAUCCGAAAGUAUCCAAUCACAUAUGUUUUGGGUUUUUUUCAUUUAGCCAAUGGGAAGUAUUGUGGGGGUGAGUGCUUUAUUCAGAGAAAUGGAACUGAGACAGGAUGUACGUCGGCAUGCAAGUGCGUGACUAAGAAUUUCAAGAGCACCAGUCAAAUUGGAAGCGGUAUGUGUAAAAAUAAGCGAGGUUAUCAAUUCGGCCGUGGAGCCCAAUGUGGUGGUGAGUGUUACAUUGACAGCAACGGAAAAGAUACCGGAUGCACUCGCAAAUGCAAGUGCGUAAAGAAUAACUUCAGGAGCAGCAGCGUAGGUGGCAGCGGUACAUGCAAGCGCGUGUAUGGCUGAAGUGUUUCCACUGAGAUAUAAAUAAUGCAAUAAGAGUAAAAAAAUAAUAAAACAUAACAAAAAAAUUUAUACCACUGACAGAAUACGGGGAAAGCAUUUCGCAGUCAACAUAUUACACGCAUAAGGUGCACCUACGGAACUCAAGUAUAAGUACGGAUUGCCUGCGAUUCAAGGUGACGACAUUACACAAGGUAAUAUAAAAAUCCAUUCUAGCGAUGAUACCCUGUCGUAUCUAUUAAGGCCCUUACGCGGAAGCCAUGGGAGGCAGAACUGUCUCUAUUUGUUAUUUCCUGCAACUCCACACAUAUAUCCGAUUAUAUCGGGCAUUCCAGCUCUAGUUUAGUGAGUGUCAAGCGGAACUUGGAGGAUGGGGCAAAUAUAUAUUCAUGACAUAGGACGGUUUGUUACUAGCUCUGGUGCUCGCGCAAAGAGUCUCUUGGUAUAAGGAAAAUUCAGGAUUCUCAUUGCUCUGUAUGCGUACGAACUGGAAGUCGCUUUUGUUACGCAUUCCUGAUGGAAACGGAUAUGCAAGGUCUUCUUUUCUGCAUCUCUGCACCAUGGCACUGUUCUUAUAAAUUGAUUAUCGUGCGCUGUUGCUAAUUGUAGCUCACAUUAAAUCUUUCUG